GACAGAGGGUGCAAACGUUGUUCGGAAUUACUGGGCGUAAAGCGCGUGUAGGCGGCCAUCUAAGUCGGGCGUGAAAUCCCACGGCUCAACCGUGGAAGUGCACUCGAAACUGGAUGGCUAGAGUCCUGGAGAGGAAGGUGGAAUGCUUGGUGUAGAGGUGAAAUUCGUAGAUAUCAAGCGGAACACCGGUGGCGAAGGCGGCUCCU
rnacentral:rRNA from 1 species